rnacentral:misc_RNA from 1 species
CUGCUUCUCCUCCACCACCUCUAGACCUCCCUCUCAACAUUCCCAGCUAUCAUCGCCACAGCCAUUUCUCCAAUGGUGGUAGCUAUCCCGGGGGCGCGUGUGUUUCACUCGCGACGGUUUCUGGCCCAAGGUUCUUUUUCGACGCUUUUGCUCAGGGGAAGAACAUAAAGCACACUAAAUCUAACAUGUGCAGAUUUGAUCGGACGGCGGCUAUGAU